ACUCUUUGGCCAGCCAUAAAGGGGAGAGAAUUUUCUAUGUUUUUCUCCUUGACCAGCUGGACACCAAAACCUUCUUUUCUUUGGGUCAUUCAGCAUUUUUCUUCUUUCUUUCCUCACCACCGUCACUUGCACUUGUGAAGAAAUUCUUCCUCCCAAAACCGUACCAUCACCAUAACCAGCCAGCUUUAAGUUCUUCUCUCCAUUUCUUCCCUUGUUUCUUUCCUUUUAUCCUUCCCCUACAUGAAGUCCUUUCCUCUUCCUUCCCCAUAGCUGAGAUUGAGGUGAAUUGGUGAGAUGAUUCAAGAUUUCUAAGCAAAGGAAAUUUAGGUGAGAGAACUGGUACUUUGGAGUGGGGAAGAUCCAGCAAAAAUAAGGAAGUGUGCACUUGAAUUGGUAGUCAAUUUAGCAUCCCAA